GGGCCAUUAGCUCAGUUGGUUAGAGCCACCGGCUCAUAACCGGUUUGUCCGGGGUUCGAGUCCCUGAUGGCCCACCA
rnacentral:tRNA from 1 species